rnacentral:snoRNA from 1 species
AAGAACUAUACUUUCAGGGAUCAUUUCUAUGUUUCUUGACUUGAAAGAAAUGUUUUUCUAAAGUGUUUGAUCUCGCAACCACGAGGAGAGACGCGAUAUUCCUUCUGAGCGCGAAGGCGGUUUGAGUAUGAUUCAGUUCAUCCGUCUCUGCCAUUGAUGACCGUUCUUGCUCCUUGUGGAGCAUUGAGGGAGGAAUAUGAUCAGAGUGGU